GAUGUCUAGGUUCCUGUUCGUCUACAACACCCACAUCUACAGCAUCUGUUUCUCAGACUCACUAGAUGUCUAGGUUCCUGUUCGUCUACAGCACCCACAUCUACAGCAUCUGUUUCUCAGACUCACUAGAUGUCUAGGUUCCUGUUCGUCUACAGCACCCACAUCUACAGCAUCUGUUUCUCAGACUCACUAGAUGUCUAGGUUCCUGUUCGUCUACAGCACCCACAUCUACAGCAUCUGUUUCUCAGGUUCACUAGAUGUCUAGGUUCCUGUUCGUCUACAGCACCCACAUCUACAGCAUCUGUUUCUCAGGUUCACUAGAUGUCUAGGUUCCUGUUCGUCUACAGCACCCACAUCUACAGCAUCUGUUUCUCAGGUUCACUAGAUGUCUAGGUUCCUGUUCGUCUACAGCACCCACAUCUACAGCAUCUGUUUCUCAGGUUCACUAGAUGUCUAGGUUCCUGUUCGUCUACAGCACCCACAUCUACAGCAUCUGUUUCUCAGACUCACUAGAUGUCUAGGUUCCUGUUCGUCUACAGCACCCACAUCUACAGCAUCUGUUUCUCAGACUCACUAGAUGUCUAGGUUCCUGUUCGUCUACAGCACCCACAUCUACAGCAUCUGUUUCUCAGGUUCACUAGAUGUCUAGGUUCCUGUUCGUCUACAGCACCCACAUCUACAGCAUCUGUUUCUCAGACUCACUAGAUGUCUAGGUUCCUGUUCGUCUACAACACCCACAUCUACAGCAUCUGUUUCUCAGACUCACUAGAUGUCUAGGUUCCUGUUCGUCUACAGCACCCACAUCUACAGCAUCUGUUUCUCAGGUUCACUAGAUGUCUAGGUUCCUGUUCGUCUACAGCACCCACAUCUACAGCAUCUGUUUCUCAGACUCACUAGAUGUCUAGGUUCCUGUUCGUCUACAGCACCCACAUCUACAGCAUCUGUUUCUCAGGUUCACUAGAUGUCUAGGUUCCUGUUCGUCUACAACACCCACAUCUACAGCAUCUGUUUCUCAGACUCACUAGAUGUCUAGGUUCCUGUUCGUCUACAGCACCCACAUCUACAGCAUCUGUUUCUCAGACUCACUAGAUGAGUUCCAAAUA